rnacentral:tRNA from 1 species
CCUCUGGUGGUCCAGUGGUUAAAACUCUGCACUUCCAGUGCAGGGGUCCUAGGUUCAAUCCCUGGUCAAGGAA